rnacentral:rRNA from 1 species
GAGGAAUAUUGGUCAAUGGGCAAGAGCCUGAACCAGCCAAGUAGCGUGCAGGAUGACGGCCCUAUGGGUUGUAAACUGCUUUUAUGUGGGGAUAAAGUGAGCUACGUGUAGUUUAUUGCAGGUACCACAUGAAUAAGGACCGGCUAAUUCCGUGCCAGCAGCCGCGGUAAUACGGAAGGUCCAGGCGUUAUCCGGAUUUAUUGGGUUUAAAGGGAGCGUAGGCCGUGGAUUAAGCGUGUUGUGAAAUGUAGACGCUCAACGUCUGAAUUGCAGCGCGAACUGGUUCACUUGAGUAUGCACAACGUAGGCGGAAUUCGUCGUGUAGCGGUGAAAUGCUUAGAUAUGACGAAGAACUCCGAUUGCGAAGGCAGCUUACGGGAGCACAACUGACGCUGAAGCUCGAAGGUGCGGGUAUCAAACAGGAUUAGAUACCCUGGUAGUCCGCACAGUAAACGAUGGAUGCCCGUUGUUAGUUCACUUAAGAAUUAGCGACCAAGCGAAAGCAUUAAGCAUCCCACCUGGGGAGUACGCCGGCAACGGUG